rnacentral:rRNA from 1 species
AUUGAACGCUGGCGGCAGGCCUAACAUAUGCAAGUCGAGCGGCAGCGGAAAGUAGCUUGCUACUUUGCAGGCGAGCGGCGGACGGGUGAGUAAUGUCUGGGGAUCUGCCUGAUGGAGGGGGAUAACUACUGGAAACGGUAGCUAAUACCGCAUAACGUCGCAAGACCAAAGAGGGGGACCUUCGGGCCUCUUGCCAUCAGAUGAACCCAGAUGGGAUUAGCUAGUAGGUGGGGUAACGGCUCACCUAGGCGACGAUCCCUAGCUGGUCUGCGCGGAUGACCAGCCACACUGGAACGGAGACACGGGCCAGACUCCUACGGGAGGAAGCAGUGGGGAAUAUUGCACAAUGGGCGCAAGCCUGAUGCAGCCAUGCCGCGUGUAUGAAGAAGGCCUUCGGGUUGUAAAGUACUUUCAGCGAGGAGGAAGGCGUUAAGGUUAAUAACCUUAGCGAUUGACGUUACUCGCAGAAGAAGCACCGGCUAACUCCGUGCCAGCCGCCGCCGUAA